GCGGCGGUCCCGCCCAGGAAUAGGCUGGGCCCCGCUGGCGCCUCCCCGGCUCCGUUCUUACUUGUAGCUCGGGAUUAGCCCACUCGGUCCCAGAAUGUCUUGGAUUGGACGAUACUUUAAAGAUCAUCCAGUUCGAAACCCCUGCGGAGGGCGGAGUCACCUUUCACGAGAGCGUGUUGUUCGGGGCCCUGUCCAACCUGACCUUGAGCAUUCCCAGGGAUGGGACAUCCACAGCUUCUCUGGGCAAUCUGUGCCAGUGCCUCACCACCCUCACAGCAAAGAGUUUCUUCCUGUUUCUUAUCUCAGCCUGCCCUCUCUCACUGCCCCUUGUCCUGUCACUACAUGCCCGUAUAAAAAGUCCAUCUUCCUCCUUUUCAUAAUCCCCCUCCAGGUACAGGAAGGCUGCAGUGAGGUCCCUCCAGAGCCUUUUCUUCUCCAGGCUGAACAAUCCCAGCUCUGUCAGCCUGUCAAGAAGCUUAUGUAAAGCACCUGCUCUAGACUGUCCAGAGAUGAUGCACUGGAGUCCUUGAGUUUGGCUGAAACUGAAAGUAGCAAAAAGACCAGCUUGGAAACAGGAGAUGGAGUUUCUUUCAAAGAAAAUGCAUAUCAUACUCUGGAAAAAAAUGCUGGAAAAAUGAAACAGAAGCGGGAAUGGCUGUCAUCAUCUACCUCAGCCUUGUCAUGGUGCUGCCACUGCCACAGUCUCCUGAGGUCAGCUUGCUCAAGCUAUUUGGCAUCUGCAGAUACACCGAUGCUCCCAAAACAGCUGGUGCUCGACAAUCGUGCUCUGGUCACAUCCUUGGUCCCAUCUGGGUCUUCCAGGUGCGUAAGGCCCUGGUGGUGAGUUAUUCCCUAGGCAGUAAGCGCACAUGCACACCAUACAGCUGGAUUUUGGAAAGCCCUCAAUGAACCAGCCACAUCCACCGCAAGCAGCCUGUGCACGACACACGACAUGACCGGAUUAACUGCAUGUGAGUGCAGCUGCGGGCAGCACACAACAGGGGUCACUGCACACAUGCCCAUGGUGACAGCACGCCUGUUCGGGAAUGCCCCUGCAACCAGCAGGUCACCAGAUGUGACUCAGGAUGACUGGGCACCCAUGCACCGUCCUGGUGCAGCACCUGCC